UACGUAGGGUGCAAGCGUUAAUCGGAAUUACUGGGCGUAAAGCGUGCGCAGGCGGUUUUGUAAGUCUGACGUGAAAUCCCCGGGCUCAACCUGGGAACUGCAUCUGUGACUGCAUAGCUAGAGUACGGUAGAGGGGGGAUGGAAUUCCGCGUGUAGCAGUGAAAUGCGUAGAUAUGCGGAGGAACACCGAUGGCGAAGGCAAUCCCCUGGACCUGUACUGACGCUCAUGCACGAAAGCGUGGGGAGCAAACAGG
rnacentral:rRNA from 1 species